UCAAUAUCGAUCGGCAUUUAGAAGUGAAAUAUGAUUAAAAGAGUAUGUGGCGAUGUUGGGCAUAUGACUGACUCUUUAUGGUGGGAAGAGUACUGAAACGCUUCGUUUUAUAGAUCAAUCGCGUUCCUCAAAUUUGUAUUUCAUUUUGUAUCAGCAGACAAAGCGAAAAACUUUUUUUUUUAUAAGUAAUAUUAAACUUUAUUAAUGUAAAGAAGGCAUAAGCCAGGUAAACUGGGAGUAUACAUUUAAUACACCGUUUUAAGAAGGAGAAAAAGUUACAAGGAAAUCAUGGAAGCGAAAAACUUUUUUCUCUUUUGUUUUAUCUUGGCCAUGGCCGUUUCUUUCAAGUCCCCAGCUUCUUUCAAUUGAAGAAGAGCCCUGACACUCAGUCUUUUAUCCGCUCUCCCUCUCAUAGAUUAGCAGUCUCAAGUACAAGAUUCACUCCAAUGGCUGCUGUUAGCACUAACCAAACCGUUGGGCCCUCUGAGACUUUCACAAGAUUGAGAAAACAAGGCAAGGACUAUGAUUUUACUCUCUUCCACUGAAGGACUUCACCAACAGCACACAGAGCAUCAAAAGCGAGCCAAGUAAGUAGAAAAGAUCGAUGUUUGGUUUUGUUUGUUAACAUACUGACUACUCCUUCCACUGAAGCAAAAUGAUUAAUGCGCACUAUAAAAGCAUGUGCGUGGGUACUGAGCGAGAACAACACAGUAUGGGUAGCGGCCGACGAUUGAUAUUGAAAAAGCUGUUAACUUGCAAAGUAGUAUUACCUGGUUCGACGCCGAAAAGUGGGUAGAGGCCGAGCUCAGUGACUCCGUCCGACACGCCGAUCUUAGAGAGAGGAAGGGUACUGGCAGACGGUGAUUCUCAAAUCUGAGAGAGAGGAAGAGAUCUAAGAACGAAGGGUUCGGCCGACGAAGAUUUUGGACGAAGGGUUCUGCCGUCUGAGAGAAAGGAAGAGAAGAGAGAGGAAAAGGAUGUGCUUGGAUCUGGCAAGAGGAAGUGCUUGGUUCUGGGAAGAGGCCGUAGGUUCUCUUCUCCUUCUCCCAAUAUAAACCAUCAGCGCCGUGUACCGGGCCUCCACCUGUUACGUCGAUACGGAAUUGAUAAAAUAAUAAAAAGAAAA